CGGCGGACGGGUGAGUAACACGUGGGUAACCUACCUAUAAGACUGGGACAACUUCGGGAAACCCGAGCUAAUACCGGAUAAUAUGUUGAACCGCAUGGUUCAAUAGUGAAAGAUGGUUUUGCUAUCACUUAUAGAUGGACCCGCGCCGUAUUAGCUAGUUGGUGAGGUAAUGGCUCACCAAGGCAACGAUACGUAGCCGACCUGAGAGGGUGAUCGGCCACACUGGAACUGAGACACGGUCCAG
rnacentral:rRNA from 1 species